CCUACGGGUGACAGCAGUGAGGAAUAUUGGUCAAUGGGCGGAAGCCUGAACCAGCCAAGUCGCGUGAGGGAUUAAGGCCCUGCGGGUCGUAAACCUCUUUUGCCGGGGAGCAGUGGUCCGGACGCGUCCGGACCGGGAGAGUACCCGGAGAAAAAGCAUCGGCUAACUCCGUGCCAGCAGCCGCGGUAAUACGGAGGAUGCGAGCGUUAUCCGGAUUUAUGGGGUUAAAAGGGUGCGCAGGCGGAAGAUCAAGUCAGCGGUAAAAUUGAGAGGCUCAACCUCUUCGAGCCGUUGAAACUGGUUUUCGUGAGUGAGUGAGAAGUAUGCGGAAUGCGUGGUGUAGCGGUGAAAUGCAUAGAUAUCACGCAGAACUCCGAUUGCGAAGGCAGCAUACCGGCGCUCAACUGACGCUCAUGCACGAAAGUGUGGGUAUCGAACAGGAUUAGAUACCCCGGUAGUC
rnacentral:rRNA from 1 species